rnacentral:rRNA from 1 species
GAAAAUAACAAUGAUUCCCCUAGUAACGGCGAGUGAAGCGGGAAGAGCUCAAGCUGAAAAUCGUUUUCUUCGGACGGCGAAUUGUGGCCUAGAGACGUUCUAUCAGUACGAACCCAGGUAUAAGUCCCUUGAAACAGGGUAUCAUAGAGGGUGAGAAUCCCGUUUGUGACUUGGAGUUUCGUGCGUACGAUGUUCGUUCAUAGAGUCGUGUUGCUUGGGAGUGCAGCACUAAAUGGGUGGUAAAUUUCAUCUAAAGCUAAAUAUUGGCCGGAGACCGAUAGCGCACAAGUAG